AUACGUAGGGAGCGAGCGUUGUCCGGAAUUACUGGGCGUAAAGGGUGCGUAGGCGGCGUAAUAAGUCAGAUGUGAAAUACCCGGGCUUAACUCGGGGGGUGCAUUUGAAACUAUUAGGCUUGAGUGCAGGAGAGGAAAGCGGAAUUCCUAGUGUAGCGGUGAAAUGCGUAGAUAUUAGGAGGAACACCAGUGGCGAAGGCGGCUUUCUGGACUGCAACUGACGCUGAGGCACGAAAGCGUGGGGAGCAAACAGGAUUAGAUACCCUGGUAGUCCACGCUGUAAACGAUGGAUACUAGGUGUAGGGGAGAUACUACCUCUGUGCCGGAGCUAACGCAAUAAGUAUCCCGCCUGGGGAGUACGGUCGCAAGGCUGAA
rnacentral:rRNA from 1 species